GCGCGGGUGGCGGAAUUGGUAGACGCUAUAGCUUGAGGGGCUAUUGUCCCCUAGGGACGUGGAGGUUCAAGUCCUCUCCCGCGCACUA
rnacentral:tRNA from 1 species